rnacentral:rRNA from 1 species
CGCUGGCGGCGUGCCUAAUACAUGCAAGUCGUACGCUUCUUUUUCCACCGGAGCUUGCUCCACCGGAAAAAGAGGAGUGGCGAACGGGUGAGUAACACGUGGGUAACCUGCCCAUCAGAAGGGGAUAACACUUGGAAACAGGUGCUAAUACCGUAUAACAAUCGAAACCGCAUGGUUUUGAUUUGAAAGGCGCUUUCGGGUGUCGCUGAUGGAUGGACCCGCGGUGCAUUAGCUAGUUGGUGAGGUAACGGCUCACCAAGGCCACGAUGCAUAGCCGACCUGAGAGGGUGAUCGGCCACAUUGGGACUGAGACACGGCCCAAACUCCUACGGGAGGCAGCAGUAGGGAAUCUUCGGCAAUGGACGAAAGUCUGACCGAGCAACGCCGCGUGAGUGAAGAAGGUUUUCGGAUCGUAAAACUCUGUUGUUAGAGAAGAAUAAGGAUGAGAGUAACUGUUCAUCCCUUGACGGUAUCUAACCAGAAAGCCACGGCUAACUAGGG